rnacentral:rRNA from 1 species
UACGUAGGGGGGCAAGCGUUGCCCGGAUUUAUUGGGCGUAAAGAGCGUGUAGGCGGUUUGGUAGGUCCGCUGUGAAAACUCGAGGCUCAACCUCGAGACGCCGGUGGAAACCAUCAGGCUAGAGUCCGGAAGAGGAGAGUGGAAUUCCUGGUGUAGCGGUGAAAUGCGCAGAUAUCAGGAAGAACACCCGUGGCUAAGGCGGCUCUCUAGUACGGUACUGACGCUGAGACGCGAAAGCGUGGGGAGCGACAGG